rnacentral:rRNA from 1 species
CAAUAGCGUAUAUUAAAGUUGUUGCAGUUAAAAAGCUCGUAGUUGGAUUUCUGGUGGGAGCGAUCGGUCUGGCGCUUAGCGCGAGUACUUGCAUCGUCUCCGGCCAUCCUUGGGGAGAGUCUGUCUGGCAUUAGGUUGUCGGGCAGAGGAUCCUCAUCGUUUACUGUGAAAAAAUUAGAGUGUUCAAAGCAGGCUUAUGCCGUUGAAUAUAUUAGCAUGGAAUAAUAAGAUAGGACUUUGGUACUAUUUUGUUGGUUUGCGCACCAAAGUAAUGAUUAAUAGGGACAGUUGGGGGUAUUCGUAUUCCGUUGACAGAGGUGAAAUUCUUGGAUUUACGGAAGACGAACUACUGCGAAAGCAUUUGCCAAGGAUGUUUUCAUUAA